UUUAGAUGUAAAUUUAUUUUUCCUGAGUAGUAUUAGUUAUGUUCUUUAAACUUAAAGAAUUUGGCGGUAUUUCAAUCUAUUCAGAGGAACCUGCUUCGUUAUCGAUAAUCCGCGUUGGACCUUACUUAAUUUUUUGUUUGUAUAUCGCCGUUGGUGUUGAGAAUCUUUUUAGGGUUURUAAUUCUCUAUAUUUACGAUUAAUGAUUAAUAUCAGGUCAAGGUGCAGCUUUAUUAUUAAGUGUUUAGUGGGUUACAUUUAUAUUUAUUAUUGGAGUGCUGGUUGUAAUUAUUAGUAUGAAAGUGGAUUUGAUUGUAAUUUGUUGAAGAUUGUUUUUAUGAUUUUAGUUCUGGGAUAUGU
rnacentral:rRNA from 1 species